rnacentral:rRNA from 1 species
GGGUACUCGAGUGGCGAACGGGUGAGUAACACGUGGGUGAUCUGCCCUGCACUUUGGGAUAAGCCUGGGAAACUGGGUCUAAUACCGAAUAGGACUACGGCCUGCAUGGGUUGUGGUGGAAAGCUUUUGCGGUGUGGGAUGGGCCCGCGGCCUAUCAGCUUGUUGGUGAGGUUACGGCUCACCAAGGCGACGACGGGUAGCCGGCCUGAGAGGGUGACCGGCCACACUGGGACUGAGAUACGGCCCAGACUCCUACGGGAGGCAGCAGUGGGGAAUAUUGCACAAUGGGCGCAAGCCUGAUGCAGCGACGCCGCGUGAGGGAUGACGGCCUUCGGGUUGUAAACCUCUUUCGCCAGGGACGAAGCGCAAGUGACGGUACCUGGAGAAGAAGGACCGGCCAACUACGUGCCAGCAGCCGCGGUAAUACGUAGGGUCCGAGCGUUGUCCGGAAUUACUGGGCGUAAAGAGCUCGUAGGUGGUUUGUCGCGUUGUUCGUGAAAACUCACAGCUUAACUGUGGGCGUGCGGGCGAUACGGGCAGACUGGAGUACUGCAGGGGAGACUGGAAUUCCUGGUGUAGCGGUGGAAUGCGCAGAUAUCAGGAGGAACACCGGUGGCGAAGGCGGGUCUCUGGGCAGUAACUGACGCUGAGGAGCGAAAGCGUGGGGAGCGAACAGGAUUAGAUACCCUGGUAGUCCACGCCGUAAACGGUGGGUACUAGGUGUGGGUUUCCUUCCUUGGGAUCCGUGCCGUAGCUAACGCAUUAAGUACCCCGCCUGGGGAGUACGGCCGCAAGGCUAAAACUCAAAGAAAUUGACGGGGGCCCGCACAAGCGGCGGAGCAUGUGGAUUAAUUCGAUGCAACGCGAAGAACCUUACCUGGGUUUGACAUGCACAGGACGUGCCUAGAGAUAGGUAUUCCCUUGUGGCCUGUGUGCAGGUGGUGCAUGGC